CCGGCGAUGUCCGAAUGGGGAAACCCAGUGCAAUUCGUUGCACUAUCGUUAACUGAAUACAUAGGUUAACGAGGCGAACCGGGGGAACUGAAACAUCUAAGUACCCCGAGGAAAAGAAAUCAACCGAGAUUCCCCCAGUAGCGGCGAGCGAACGGGGAGCAGCCCAGAGUCUGAAUCAGCUUGUGUGUUAGUGGAACGGUCUGGAAAGUCCGACGGUACAGGGUGAUAGUCCCGUACACCAAAAUGCACAGGUUGUGAACUCGAAGAGUAGGGCGGGACACGUGGUAUCCUGUCUGAAUAUGGGGGGACCAUCCUCCAAGGCUAAAUACUCCUGACUGACCGAUAGUGAACCAGUACCGUGAGGGAAAGGCGAAAAGAACCCCGGCGAGGGGAGUGAAAAAGAACCUGAAACCGUGUACGUACAAGCAGUGGGAGCACCUUCGGGUGUGACUGCGUACCUUUUGUAUAAUGGGUCAGCGACUUAUAUUCUGUAGCAAGGUUAACCGUAUAGGGGAGCCGCAGGGAAACCGAGUCUUAACUGGGCGUUAAGUUGCAGGGUAUAGACCCGAAACCCGGUGAUCUAGCCAUGGGCAGGUUGAAGGUUGGGUAACACUAACUGGAGGACCGAACCGACUAAUGUUGAAAAAUUAGCGGAUGACUUGUGGCUGGGGGUGAAAGGCCAAUCAAACCGGGAGAUAGCUGGUUCUCCCCGAAAGCUAUUUAGGUAGCGCCUCGUGAACUCAUCUUCGGGGGUAGAGCACUGUUUCGGCUAGGGGGUCAUCCCGACUUACCAACCCGAUGCAAACUACGAAUACCGAAGAAUGUUAUCACGGGAGACACACGGCGGGUGCUAACGUCCGUCGUGAAGAGGGAAACAACCCAGACCGCCAGCUAAGGUCCCAAAGUCAUGGUUAAGUGGGAAACGAUGUGGGAAGGCACAGACAGCCAGGAUGUUGGCUUAGAAGCAGCCAUCAUUUAAAGAAAGCGUAAUAGCUCACUGGUCGAGUCGGCCUGCGCGGAAGAUGUAACGGGGCUAAACCAUGCACCGAAGCUGCGGCAGCGACACGAUGUGUUGUUGGGUAGGGGAGCGUUCUGUAAGCCUGCGAAGGUG
rnacentral:rRNA from 1 species